AAACUACAGAGCAGGAAGUAAAGAUCCUGGUAUCUCCUUCUCUUCCUCUUUCUGCUGCACCAGAGGAAGAAGGGGGACCAAUCCCCAAUGAAAUCUUCAUCAAAGAUGUUCCUGCUACCUUUUCUCCAUGGGCAGUCAUUGCAGUGAUUCUGGGGAUCUUUAGCUUAUUGUUGAUGAUAACAUCUGGAUUCUUUGGUUACCAAUAUUUUCAAAAUAUCCAGCAAUCAGCUAGUAAGAUGGAUGACCUCACCAAAGAACUGGAGUCUUUGCUCAACACACUAGAAAACUUCACUGGAACAAUGAAGAAAAUACAAGAGGGUAACUUGGGGAUUGGAAUUUGAUCUCUCGUCAGAGCUUUAGAGUUCCCUCAGUAAUUCUCUGC
rnacentral:lncRNA from 1 species